UACGGGGGGGGCAAGCGUUGUUCGGAAUUACUGGGCGUAAAGGGCGCGUAGGCGGUGCUCUAAGUCAGGCGUGAAAGCCCUGGGCUCAACCCGGGAAUUGCGCUUGAUACUGGAGCGCUUGAAUCCAGGAGAGGUUGGUGGAAUUCCCAGUGUAGAGGUGAAAUUCGUAGAGAUUGGGAAGAACACCGGUGGCGAAGGCGGCCAACUGGACUGGUAUUGACGCUGAGGCGCGAAAGCGUGGGGAGCAAACAGG
rnacentral:rRNA from 1 species